UGUUAAGAUGACACAACUUCAUUAAAAAUAUAUAUAUAUUAUUUCAAGGUUCUACCAGGUGUAAUCUUUGCAAGGCUUGAUUAAUUCCUUUACAUGGAAAAGUAGAAGAUCAGGAAUAGUGGGCAUAUCCCGACUGCACUCAAAUUUAGAAGAGGUUUGGACAUUUCCUCCAGUUGUAUUACUGCUCUGUUAGACCCAUUUAAUAUACAGUGAGGGGAAAAAAGUAUUUAAUCCCCUGCUGAUUUUGAAUGUUUGUCCACUGACAAAAAAAUGAUCAGUCUUUAAUUUUAAUGGUGCCAUUAAACGUUCAAAAUCAGCAGGGGAUCAAAUACUUUUUUUUCCCUCACUGUAUGCUUGUCAUGCUCCUAUAAGGCAUAUGGGUAUAUGAUAUUUUAAUCAGGACCUUCCCCAUAUUCUACUCUACAUUCCUAAGUCAUCCAGAGCCUUGCAUUGAGUCAAGUGCCCAGCAGCACAAGAUAUCCGUACGACAGCCCUACACCCUAAACUUGUGUCCAUCUCCCACGUACCCUUUAUUACAGAAUACAUCCUUUCCUCCAGGAAUAGUUGCUGCUGCCUUCCGAGAUCUGGUGGAAAUGGGCAUCCAGAAUUAUCAGGACUUCAAUCAGCAAGGAGAAGUGGACUGCUAGGAUACCCUUCAGUGAGGGGGCACCUCAUUCCCAAAAAUCUAUUCAGAUUAGCAAUUUAGCUGGUAAACCUGAAGUGACAGACUUCCUGGUGUAAAUCAG